UGGGGAUUAGUGGCGAACGGGUGAGUAACACGUGGGCAAUCUGCCCUUCACUCUGGGACAAGCCCUGGAAACGGGGUCUAAUACCGGAUAACACUUCCACUCUCCUGGGUGGAGGUUAAAAGCUCCGGCGGUGAAGGAUGAGCCCGCGGCCUAUCAGCUUGUUGGUGAGGUAAUGGCUCGGCGAGGGGGAGGAGGGGUAGCCGGCCUGAGAGGGCGACCGGCCACACUGGGACUGAGACACGGCCCAGACUCCUACGGGAGGCAGCAGUGGGGAAUAUUGCACAAUGGGCGAAAGCCUGAUGCAGGGGAGGCGGGCGGGGGGGGAUGACG
rnacentral:rRNA from 1 species